rnacentral:rRNA from 1 species
AGCUCCAAUAGCGCAUACUAAAGUUGUCGAAGUUAAAAUGCUCCUAGUUGGAUUUCUGGCUCUGGGUAUGUGGAUCUCCUCUUUGAGUUGACAUCAUAUAUGUCGGGUCAUCCUCUGGGAGAGCCAUACUGAUAUUAAGUUAUUAGUGUGAGAAUUUCAAUUCCUUACUGUGAAGAAAUUAGAGUAUUCAAAAUAGGCUGGCGCCGUUGAAUAUAUUAGCAUAGAAUAAUGUAAUAGGACUAUUAUGCUAUAUUAUUUGUUUGCAAGCAAUCAUAAUGAUUAACAGGAGCAGUUAUUAUUUUUUUAUUCCAUUGUCUGAGAUGAAACUCUUAGAUUUUUGGAAGACAAACUACUGCAAAAGCAUUUACUAAAAAUAUUGUUA